rnacentral:lncRNA from 1 species
CUCAUACUUAGUUAUCAGGAAUACUUUGAUCGAGGGCUAUCCCAACCGAGUCCACCAAGGCUGUUAAAAAGUUAUGUACGCAUAAAUCAUGUUUUUAUUUUGAAAACAUAGUCGUUCCUUGGUGUUGGCUGAGUUCACCUUCACGUGGUGGUUUGGCAUGAAGUGAACUCUAAAGUUUUAACCUCAGGAGUUAUCCAACCGCGCCUCUCAUACUGAGGUAUGAAUAUAAUAGGGUUAUCGUGCCCCUCU